AAACUACACUGAAGUGAGAAGUGUUGCAGGAGUUCUCGGGCUCUUCAUAAGAAGACACAAAUUAAGACAUCCUGGUUCUUGAGGCAAAAUGAGCUUCCUUACCCGCCUGUUGGAUGAGAUUUCCAACCACUCUACGUUUGUGGGCAAAAUCUUGUACGCCAUCACUGUGUUGCGUAUUGUGCUGACCGCCGUCGGUGGCGAGUCCAUCUACUACGAUGAGCAGUCCAAAUUUGUGUGCAACACGAACCAGCCCGGUUGCGAGAACGUUUGCUACGACGCCUUCGCGCCGUUUUCGCACAUCCGCUUCUGGGUGUUUCAGGUGAUCCUGAUCACCACACCCACCAUCAUGUACCUGGGUUUUGCCAUGCACAAGUUCGCCCGCAUGGACGAUGACGACUACAAGCCACGGACCAGGAAGCGCAUGCCCAUCGUCAGCAGGGGCGCCAACAGAGACUACGAGGAGGCGGAGGAUAAUGGGGAGGACGACCCCAUGAUCCUGGAGGAGAUUGAGCCAGAGAAAGACUCCACGGAAGUGGUGGAGAAGCCCUGCAAAAAGCACGAUGUCCGCCGGCGUAUCAAGCGUGACGACCUCAUGAAGGUUUACGUGUUCCAGCUGCUGUCCCGUGCCAUCUUCGAGGCCUCCUUCCUGUUUGGACAGUAUGUCCUGUACGGACUGGAGGUGAAGGCCUUUUACAUCUGCUCACGCUCCCCCUGCCCACGCGUGGUGGAUUGCUUCGUCUCACGUCCCACCGAGAAAACCAUCUUCCUCCUCAUCAUGUAUGGCGUCAGUGCGCUCUGUCUGCUUUUCACCUUGCUGGAGAUCCUUCACUUUCUCUGCACUUCCUUCUCUUCCUCUCAGCCCAACCCUCCCACUCCUUCUUCAAGGCAAAUACCUUCAGCCAGCUUCCACCUGUUCCCCCGACGAGGCUACAACUCAGGUUCCUCUGGUUCCUCCCCACAGGAGUUGAAGCAGGGAAACCUUAAAUGGACUCAGAAACCCGGCAGCCCAUCGAUGAGUGUUAGCAGAGCUAAGGAGCAGAACCGGCGCAACUCUGUUCAGGAGUACGUGUGACCAGCAGCACGACGUGAUGAAGACACCGAGGACUGCAGUGAUCAGCAGCGCAAAAGUGGUGUAGAGCCCAGCCUCAGCCUCAGCGACGGUGAGAGCCAGUCCCAGGAAGUUGACGUCACUGGGACCACUUGCUGCAGGGGAUAAGGAGUUGGGUCAUUAAACACGUGAGCCCUCUGGUGGACACUUUGUCAAUGGAAUAAUACACUUUCAAUAUAUUUCAUAGAUUUUUACAUGACAUCCAAGGUGCGAUAUAAAAAGAAAUAUUUCGUUAUUCUGAAAUAAUGUCAUGUAUGUCUCGAUAACUAUGACAGCCAUUACCUCCGGGCCCAGGGGCCAGGCAGUCGUGGGGUCCAGCUGCCGGGUCUGGAAAACCAUUGCAGCUGAUGAUAUUGGAGUAAGUGGUGACGGAGGACUUGGCCACUCUGGACAGAUUGGGAUCGGAGCGAUUCACGUAAAAAAGUCCAAAUCGUUCAGAGAAGCCGGUGGCCCACUCCAGGUUGUCCAUCAGUGACCAAGCUGUGUAACCAAGGAUGUCCACAUUGUCCAGCAGGUAAGCUGCAACACAACAAGUGACACUUGAAGACACAGACUUUAGGAAUCACUCAUCAGUGUGCGUUUCACUGCUCUCAUCAAAUUGUUGCAUUCAACUUUUUCCAUGGACUCAGGUACCUUUCAACACCUGGUUCAGGUAUUUUUCGUAGUAGUGGCUCCUGUGCACAUCGUUCAGGUCGACUGGCCCACGCUCUGAGAUCCCGUUCUCCGUGAUGAUAAUUGGGGGAUUUCCGUACUCCGUUUUAAUGAAGUUUAAUAUUUUCCGGAAUCCGAACGGCGUGACCUUCAGCCAAGAGGAGCCGGAAUCUAGCCAAGUGCGAUCUCCAAUUGUUCCCGCACCUCUGAAAAAAUAGUCAGCGUGAGCUGGAAGAUCGAUCUUCCUCUGCUGGAUUAAAACUCCCAUGCAGGGUCACUGUCUCACCUGUCGGCAUCAUAGUGCUGCAGGUCGCCGUAGUCCACAGGAAAGGCCAGGACAGUGGUGUAGUGGUUGAAGCCAAAGUAAUCGUAUGUUCCCUUAAUUCUUUUAAUCUCCUCUGGAGUGAACUCAGGAAGUCUGGAGAACAAUCAGAAUCAGUCAGUUUACAGGGCAAUUCCCAGAUUUUGUGUCUCCAAGAAACACACCGGGAUUUCUCCAGACCAGCGGCGAAGCUUCUCUCUCGAAUGAUUGUCUUCAUGGUGUCACUGUAGUCCCCGUUGAAAAUGGGGUGAGCAAACCAACCGAUGUAGAACUGCACGGAGAACAUGAGAGCUGUAAUGCGUGUGAAGAUGUUGAGACCUAAGGUGGUGUCUAAAUCACCUGCACCACACGUCUCGCUGCGUCCACAUCCUCCUGCUUGUAGGGAUUCCUGGGUUCUGACCAGUCAGAGUUGAUGGUGAUCGAGAUCAUUCCCUUCUGUGCAGCUCGGUAUACAUCGUUGUAGAGAUGCCAGGCUUCUGCGUGAGCCUUUAGCAGGUUGUGCCCAACAAUAUAGGGCAACGUACCUGGUCGGAAACUGAUGCCUGGUUUACAUGAAAAAACAAAACAAAGAGCACAAUCACAAUAACCGAAUCACCUUUGUAAGUGCAGGAGUUCCUGGUCCACUGAUCUCACUGAUGCACAAGACACGUGGCAGCGAGGAUGAUAACAACAACAACAAACAUGGAGGAAUCCCUGAGCAGAACGUAUGAAAUGGAGGCACCAGGUAAAAGUCGCAGAAUGUGUUAACCUCUGUAUGUUUUUUGAUGGUGGUACUUCCUUGUCUUUUCUUGACAAUGUGAUGUUAAAGAGGAGGAAGUUAAUACCUGGGGCUGCUGCGCCAUAGCCGUGUCCAACAUUAGCGAUAUUAUACGGCUCAUUAAUGGUGAUCCAAAGCUUCACUUUUGGGCCGAGGCGGCCGAAGAUGAAGUUGGCGUAGUCCUUGAAUUUGGCCACGAUGUUGGGAUUCUCCCAGCCACCAUCAUCCUGCAGAGCUUGUGGAAGGUCCCAAUGAUACAGAGUGACCUGGAACAGCAAACAGAAUAUAAAAACCUUCGAGGCUUUUUCAACGGCGCCUCAGGGGAAAGACCUGGUACAUACAUGUGGCUGGAUGUUCGCUUCCAGCAGUGCAUCGAUGAGCCGGUGGUAGUAGUUGAGUCCGGCCUCAUUGACAUUCCUCGUGGUGCCAUCAGGAAGGACUCGUGACCAGGAGAUGGAAAACCUAUAGUGGGUCACUUUUAACUGUUUAAGUAUGGCCACAUCCUCCUCCACCUUGUUGUAGCUGUCGCAGGCGACGUCGCCAUCGUCAUCGUUAAAAAUGCGCAGUGGUGUAUGAGCAAACUUGUCCCAGAUGCUGAGACCUUUCCCGUCUGCUCUCCAGCCACCUUCAAUCUGGAACAUUGGGUGAUUCCAGUCAAGACAUAGAAUCAAUGACAGUUCUUUUCUUGAUGGAAAGAACCUGCAAUGUUUACUCGUAAGAGCCUGCCACAUUGUCGAGCUCAAAGGAGAGCUCAUUUUUAGCUUCUGCUUGAUCUAUAUUCUGGUGGUGUAGCAUUCCCUUCAUAUUCAGAAACACUGCUACAUUUUGGUGCAAGAAAACAUUGCGUCCAAUCAAAUGCACUCAUUGGGUUCUCACAGUCUUGAAUCGGAUCUCAUACCUGGUAUGAAGCCGUGGCUGUGCUCCAGAGGAAGUCUUUAUGGAAUGAGCCAAACUGGGUCCUCUCAUCUUCUUGCAUUGGAAAGCCAUUAGCUUUAACUAUUUGAUGAUAGACGUGAGCAGAGUACUUAGGUGUUCUUGGUCUGUUUGGGUCUGAGAAGUCCACGUGGUGGAGUCCAAAUCCAACUUUGUACCCAUUAAGCCACUCAAAUGAAUCCAUGAGGGAAGUUGCCAUGUAUCCUUUGACCUUAACAUUGUCAAGCUGGAAUGCUGUUGAACCACAAAAAAAAGGUUAGGACAGAACGACCAAUGUGAAGUGGGAAUUUGACACGCAUAGCUAUGUGAAAGUCAACACACCUUUAAGAGCCUCAUCAAUAUAUGUCUUGUAAAAAAAUACCCUUGUGGUAUCAUCCACCGUGGUUUUAUCUGCUUCAGUAGCGGCUCCAUUCUCAGUGAUGUAGAUGUCAGGGUCUCCGUACUCCUCUUUUAUCCAGUUUAGCAAUCGUCUCAGACCCCAGGCCACAGCUCUCUGUUUGCUGAUGGCAGUUGCUGGGGAAUCCUUCUCCUCAGCUUCUGACAGAUCCUGGUCGGUUGUGUAUGACUGAAUGUCCAAGCGAGCUGUGACGUGACUGAUGAUCUUUGUUGUGUAGUGAUUGACACAAAACAUGUCUGCAGUUCCUCGGAUAAAGCGUUUCUCUUCCUCAGUGAAGGUCGGCAGUCUCGACUCUGGGAGACCCUGGAGUUCACUCUUGUUCCCCACCUGCCACUUCAUGGCAUCAGGGUAGUCACCGUUCUUGAAAAUAGGGUGUGCAAACCAACCGAGGUGGAACUGCAAAGCCCGGUCUGCUGCCACCACUUCACGUCGAACACUAGCGUCGACAGGUUCCACCCAGUCAGCGCUGAGGGCCAGAGACACCAGACCACCUUGUGAUUUUCGAUACUUGUCAUCGUAUGUGUGGUAGGCUUUGGCGUGAGCUUUUAUCAGGUUAUGUGCGACAGCGUAAGGUGCAACUCCAGGCUUCUUGAUGCGUGGUGGAAUCUCUCCGAGCCCGUACCCAGACCAGGCAAUGGUGUGAGGCUGGUUGAUUGUGAUCCAUAGUUUAACUCGAUCUCCAAACGUGGCGAAGCAGAAGUCACAGUAGUCAUUAAAAAUGUCAAUCAUCUUGACGUUUUCCCAGCCACCCUGGUUUUGCAGCGCUUGUGGGAGGUCCCAGUGGUAGAGCGUCACCAUGGGGGUGAUGUUGUACGCUAACAGGCCGUCGAUAAGUCUGUUGUAAAAGUCGACACCUUUCUGGUUCAGAGACGUUCUGUUACCGUCAGGAAAGAUUCUGGACCAGGACAAGGAGAACCUGUAGGACUUCACUUGGAGAGCUCGCAGCAUGUAAAGGUCCUCGUCCAGUCUGUUGUAGCUGUCGCAGGCCACAUCUCCGGUGGGAUUCCCCGGAAUACUUCCAGGUUUUUGGGUGAACUGAUCCCAGACACUCGGACCUUUCCCGUCUGUGUUCCAGCCACCUUCGAUCUGAUAAGCUGAUGAUGACACGCCCCAACUGAAGCCCUGUGGGAACGUGCCAUAAUGGUAGAGUUGUCUUUGGAACUUUGACUGGUGGGAGAACUUCUCCCACACCACUUUGGCUUUCGAGGGGACUUCUGAUGGAGGGAGUGGGGAGGAACGGCGAAAGCUCUGCGUCUGUGGGACGUUAGCGACACCAUCUUUGGCUGGUUUGAAUCCAUUUUGCUGGAUGAUCUCAGAGUAGGAAUAUGCAGACUGUCUGGGAGUCCUGGGUCUGUCAGGGUCAUCAAAGCUGACAUGAUGAAGCCCAGACUUCUCACUGUAGCCUUGCUUUCCUUCAAAUCCAUCCAUCAGCGACUGGACGGUGAACCGUCGCACGUCCACGCCGUCACGUAAUUUGGCUGGACAGAACAACAGCUUUCCAGUUAAACCAACGUUUGCAGCAGAAGUGAUUUGAGAAUCAAAGCACACUGACCUUUCAGAGCCUCGUUGAUGUAGCUCCUCAUGUACUCCACUCUGCUGGUGUCAUUGAGAGUGUCUCCAGUGGCCUCAGUGGGCAUCCCAUUCCCAGUGACAUACACUGGCACUUUCUUCACCUUCAUGUACUCCGCUGAAACAUACUUCAGAAGUCGCCUCAGACCCCAGGGAGCUGAGAAGAUCCAGUCUGAGGCUGUAGAGGGCCACGAAGGGUCCACACUUGUCUGGAGAUCUCCCACCCCUUCAGGACCCGGAGCGCAACCACCAUCUCUGUUGGUGACCAACCUGGACGUGUAGUGAUUCAGCCCGAAGAAGUCAGCAGUCCCUCUGAUCCUUUCUUUCUCUUUGGCAGUGAACACUGGCAGGACGGCAGGAGGGGCCACGCAUGCUUUCUUUUUGUCUUCAAUCUGAGUCUUCAGUGCUGCUGGAUAAUCCCCAUCCACAAAUAUGGGCCGCCUUCAACCUUGAAGGACUCGCUGGAGGUCGCCCACUGGAAGCCAGCAGGGAAAGACUCGUUCAAGAAAUCAUCUCUGUCCGUUUGAACCUGGAGCCAGACACUGUUUUCUUGCUCCUCAUUGUAGAGGGAACGAAGUUCAACUCUGGAGGGAAGAACACCUUUAAUCUUUUUGAAUGCUGCGAGGUUUGUUGUACAAAACUGUCGAUUUCCGUGGUAUUACCUUAUGGAAGGGUCCUGCACGUCUAGAUGCCCCAACAUGUUCAUCACAUCACAUCCAAUAAGCUUCACAUCCUGGUCGUUCAAGACUUUAGACACAGGAAAACAGUUGCAGUUUAGUUUGUGCAAUGAAUUUUGUGAACAGCUUUUAUUUCCUUGAAGAUUGCUUAUUUGAGAUGUUUUCACUGAUAAGGCUGCACACUCUGGUACCUGUGACUUUGCCACGUCAACAGCGCUGUAACAACCAUAAAUGUUCUCAUCACUGCAAAACCCUUUGAUGUUUAUCAUUGCUGCUUAUCAAUGAAGUGCUAUACUACUCCGUCGAACACAAUGGAAGCUCACAGGUUUGUCCCACCAUCUUUGCGGGGGCCGCUCAUUGCCAUAAUGCUUUCCCCAGCCUCCCACCCAAAACCUAACCAUCCACAUCCACCAUCCAUCCUCUGAACUAAACUUAAACCCCACUAUAAUGACCCAGGUAUUUUGACAUCUUCUUCCUCAAAUUGCAGCUUAACCCUGUAGGGCCCCACAAAGGUAAAGGCAAAUUUCCCCCCAAAGUAGUCCUCAGUAGGAGAGAUCUUGUAAUAUUGUACAUAUUGCUUUCAUGAAUGAUAACUACAAAACAAAACAAAAACCGAAUGGAAUUGUCGGAUGAUCGCUUCAGGUGCCUUUGAUAUUUUGUAUUGUUCUAUGAUGAAUGGAUCCAGUGAAUGUCUGAAUUCAUUUACAACAUUUACCUUGAAUGAAAUCACCAAGAAGCUGGUUGUCCCCGUCCGUGCAGUCAAGAGCACUCAUCUUGUAUAUCAAGAUGGACAAGCCAUCACUCAGCAGCUGAAACAUGGAGAGCUCAUUACAAUACAGAGGACUAUCAUGAACAUGUGAGCAACAAUCAAAUACCUGGAUCUUCCUUAUCUCCUCUGCCAGACUCGGUGGCGAUGCGCAGCUGUACUGCAUGUGCACUGACAGAAAAUCAGCCUAGAAUAGCAAGUUAUGACAUUAUCCAGUGGCAUUAACUAUGUUGACAUGGUAUGCUAAGCUAUAAGGCUGUUGCAUGUUUUAACCUGAAGGGGCAGUAGAGUGACAUAACGUUCAGGGUUUAUUAGAAAGAGCGCCUGUGGAUUGAAAAUAGAAAAAACCUGAACGUGAUCCAGGGUGGUUGACAGUGUUAUAGCCUCUGCUUCAGCGUCGCAAGGGACGGCAACCUUUUUUUAACAUUCCAAAUUUCUCUUUUCCUCUAAAGCACAGAUUCAACUGGUUUCUUUUUAAAUAAUAUGCUGCUUUAUGUAACUGCCAUCUGUAUUACUGCAUUGUAUUUGUGCGACCAAUGCAAAAUCUGUGUUAAUCAUUGAUAUGAAUGAGCACGCAUAGGGACAUGCUGAUGAAACAGUCAAUUCUCACUUAUCACAAGCACACAAUAAUAAUUCCUCUCAUUAAAAGAGGCGACUGAAGAGCGACUGUAACACAGCAGCAUGCAGGAGACUUACUGAAGUUGAACUUAUGAUCUGAGAGAGACUAGAAGUUGGACCCAGCUUGAACCUCAGAGACAGACGUUUACCUGCAGAGAACAAAGUGGAGAGGAACAAACUAGCGAAGGUAGCUGGGUACUGCUGAGAAUAGCUGCUGUGUUUGUUCAUCAGGAAACUACUGGACAAUGAUUGUAUUAUUUUAUUUUAUUCACUAGGAAAUGUAAACUCUGGACUGCACUCUUUUUUGUGGUAAUACCAUGAACACCCUUGCUUAAUAAACUAUAAAUAUGCAAGUACAAAUACUAUAACGUGAUGUAUACU